UCAGAUCAGGGUUGGCUUCUUUAAGAACGUAUUGUUUGAGAUGAGUUCGGAAAGACAGGAGUAAGCAGCAUGAUAUGGAAAAGGGAAAACGUGCAAAUGACUGGAGAUGGGAGACGGUUUGGAGCUUUCAAGGAACAACAACAACAACAAAAAACUAGCGUAAAGAAAUAUAAAGAGUAAGGGAGAACAGUCAAGUUGAUGAACUAUACAGGUUUCUGGCGUCCUCCCAAAAGGUAAUCCUUAAUGAACUACAGAAUCAAGCAGGAGAAAUAAAAUACUAGAAACUAACACACAGAAGAAAGAAAGAAGGCAAUAAUGUCCACUAUCAUCACCACCCUUUAACACGGGGCUAGAGGCAAUGGUCAGUGCUGGUAGGUUAGAAAAACAAAUGAGAGGCGUAAGGAGAAGGAAAACUGCCAGCAUUUGUAGUGGUGUGAUCAUAGCCUUCGAAUAACGAGAGAAUCAAAGAAUUAUUAAAACUAAUAAGAGCGUUUAGGAAGGUGUCCAGAUAUAAGAUCAUUAAAAUCAAUUCUAUUUUUAUUCACCAAGAGUUAUCAAUUAGAAAGAUUAAUUACUAAAAGAUACUACCUAUUUUUACACAGCAAAACUACUGAUGGUGGAGACUGGAAGAACCACUGAGACUAUGAUCCCCGGACACCCUGCUAACUCAGAACUGAAACCACACCUGAAGUCCAUUUUCAGACGGAGAUUAGACAGCCUACAAAACAAGCAAUAACAUGCGCCCUGCCCCAAUGUCACUGCUUUUGCAAAGCCUUCUCCACACAGGCUAAACAUUCCCUGUUCCUUCACUUUUUCCCCUUAUGGAAUGGUUUCCAGGUCCUUCACCAUCACAAUCUUCUCUAUUAUGCUUCAAUUUAUUUCUUAACACGUGGCUUCCAACACUGAAUCCAGCACUCCAGAUGUAGUCUGCACAGCGCAGUGUCACGGGGCCCUUCUCUCGUCUGUCUUGAGCACCUGACUUUGGUACCCAGCCAUAGCAACUCAGAUCCGCUGGUGAACACCACACCAUCUUUCAAGAUUUGGUUAGGGAAUUACAACAUCUCUAAAGCUGUUUCCAACCCCAGUCAUGGAGUUACCGCCUCUUCAUUUGACCUUCCACUGCAGCCAGGUUAGUACAUUUGUUGGUUUACACGCUUGCCUCCCCGCUAGAUUGUGAGCAGUCUUAACCAGCCUUGUGAACCUGAACACCAGUGCUAUUGAUAGCUCAGACUGGUGUAUGUUUGUUGAAUGAUCAAAUGAAUGAAAAGUUAAGCAAAAGUUAAAUGAGACUCUUACAGGGGAUAAAGGUAUCACUCUCAACAUCAGUGCUACUAACUCUACUCUCAAUUCUAUAUGCACACCUGGAUGGACCAGUUUUUUAUAUCUGUGAAGUAGACCACAUGUCCUUUUAGCUUCUGGCAUCUUUUUACUUUUCCAUAAUUAAGUCACCUGUCCUAAUAAAGUUCAAUUUUAAUCAUCUGUCUUCAUUUUUCGGGGUGCAGCUGGUAACUGCUACAAGUGUGUUAUAAGAAUUUUAUUGGAAGAUUCCUAUUCA